AGUGGGAUUGCUGGGUCAAAUGGUGCUUCCAUUCCUUGUUUUGUAAGAAUCUCCAAACUGUUUUCCAGAAUGGUUGUACUAAUUUGCAGUCCCACCAACAAU
rnacentral:pre_miRNA from 1 species